rnacentral:rRNA from 1 species
GUGUCAGCCGCCGCGGUAAGACGUAGGAGGCGAGCGUUGUCCGGAUUCAUUGGGCGUAAAGAGCGCGCAGGCGGCUUGGUAAGUCGGAUGUGAAAUCCCGAGGCUCAACCUCGGGUCUGCAUCCGAUACUGCCCGGCUAGAGGUAGGUAGGGGAGAUCGGAAUUCCUGGUGUAGCGGUGAAAUGCGCAGAUAUCAGGAGGAACACCGGUGGCGAAGGCGGAUCUCUGGGCCUUACCUGACGCUCAGGCGCGAAAGCUAGGGGAGCGAACUGGAUUAGAUACCCAGGUAGUCCUAGCCGUAAACGUUGGGUGCUAGGUGUGGGCGGACAUCGACCCCGUCCGUGCCGAAGCUAACGCAUUAAGCACCCCGCCUGGGGAGUACGGCCGCAAGGCUAAA